rnacentral:lncRNA from 1 species
UUUUCUGAAAUCAAAUAACUCGUUAAGCUGUAGUAUAACUUAUUUUUCAGUUUCUUGUUUUUAUGGUUUGUUCCCGAGACAUUUCAAUUUGUUUGAUAUGUAAAUGAGUGUGAAUAUGUCCGCUAAUUUAUGAUGUCACAUUGGUUGCAAGCUCUUCAAAAUGGUUGAAUAUCACUGCUAUCAUCCAAGAUGAUAAUUUCAAACUUCACUCACUGGUAAAUGUGAUGAAACACUGGAGAAAAACGUGAACUGAUAUCAACAGUUUUUAGAGUUAAUAGAUUUAU